rnacentral:rRNA from 1 species
UACAGAGGUCUCAAGCGUUGUUCGGAUUCAUUGGGCGUAAAGGGCUCGUAGGCGGUCUGUCGCGUCGGGAGUGAAAACUCAGGGCUUAACCCUGAGCCUGCUUCCGAUACGGGCAGACUAGAGGUAUGCAGGGGAGAACGGAAUUCCUGGUGUAGCGGUGGAAUGCGCAGAUAUCAGGAGGAACACCGGUGGCGAAGGCGGUUCUCUGGGCAUUACCUGACGCUGAGGAGCGAAAGUGUGGGGAGCGAACAGG